CCUUCCUAUCUGAAUUCCUACAAUUAUGAAGUAUAAUUACUAUAUAUACUUAUGUAUAAGCUAAGGAUUCUUUCUAGAGAAAAAUUUAUGAAGAAUGGAGUUAGCUUAUACAUGGAUCAGUCAGAAAUUUAAUUCAGUCACAUCACAUUCCUGUCAUGCCUUCAUGCUAGCCAUCCAUUCCACCAUAUUUAUUCCCAACAAAGAUUGUCAUCAUACUGAUUCUCUCAAUUUUUCUUAUUAUGAAAAUGCAAAUAUGUGUAUUUGCAUUUCCCUAAUAAUACAUAAAUUAAUAUUUUUGUAAAUAUUUAAAUAUUGGAUGCUACACAGAUACAAUUAAAAACAUAUGAAGCAGUUCCACUGCUUCUUUUUUGUGUUAAUAGUGAUCCUAUGGUAACAGCUGGAUUGUCAUAUUUAUUUCUAAAAAUGCUUAUUUCUUCUCAGUUAUAUUAUUAAAAAUAUGUGGAUGUAUAAAAAUACAUAUCAACGAUACGUUCUUUUACGUUAGAGCUGAG
rnacentral:lncRNA from 1 species